UGCUGUGAAGAGAGAAGGUACACAUGAAGUGAUCCGUGCUGCUCAUAAGCUUCUGCAAGAAAGUAAUGAAGCCAAUAAGGGGUUUGAAGAUAUAAAGAUUCUGAGAGAAGAUUCCAACAUGUGUUGGAGGCUUGUGGUGUUAACAAGCCACUCUUGAAGAUGGGAGUCAAGGAAGGUGACUCUGUGAUUGUUCGAGAGGUGCGUAGAGCUUUUAUCCUCUUGAUGUGUCAACUUAGCUCACCAUGACUUUCUUAAACUCUCUCUCUCACACAUGUACACACGCAGAGACACGAAUGCACUCAAAGUAUGUUCUUUCAUAGAUUCUAGCAUGCAAACUUCCAUCACGGUUAGUUGCCACUAACAUUGGCGAGACCAUGUAAAUCAGGUAAGGUACAUUAUCAACUUUGAGUCCUUAACUGCCUCUGUUGAAGCCCACAAGCUUGUAACUGAUUCAACAGAGAUUCCAAUUUUUAAGUGGAUAACAACUCAUAUUUCUCAUGAUGCCCUAUUCUUUUCUCAAGCCAACCUCAUGUCCACCUGAAGAUUCUUUUAAUGAUUGUCAUCUUUUUAUAGAAUUUUAUUCUAGUCCAUUGUUCGCAGAAUUCUGAUUGGUCUAUCGAAUGUGAAGUUAUCAUUUGAUCCUACCAAAUGGAGUGGGAGUAAUCCUUCUGUUCUUAAUACCAAGAGUAUAGUGAUUGAGUUUCUUAGUAUCAUGACCAUAAUGAUAGAAUACCUACAUGGAGCAAAGUGACCACAAUUUAUUGCUCUUCUGCUUUUUGACAGAAAAGAGGACUUCUUCAGAGACAUAGUAAAGCUUUUCCUUGAAUAUUUGCACGUGAGCCACUAGCAUAAAACCAUCUCGCGUGUCCUGUUCUUGUUUAUAUAACUGUCAAUGCAUUGUGUACAACUUUCUUAUACCAAUGGCAUUGUUGCUUUUAUUGGGUGCUAACUAGCAGCUAUAGCGUAAUUUCUGAAAUUACUUUGGGUUACACACUUUAGCAAUCCUUUGUUAAUUUUUUCUGUAUGUUUGAGCUCUAAGGGGUUGAAGAAUUGCAUUGCAGGCUCUGAAGUAGCUUCAUGUGCAAUUUUCCACAUUGGGCAGAUCGUGGUUGCGGCAUAUUUCAUCCGACUGAAGGCAUGCAGGUUGCUACAGAUGUUCAGCAGUUGCUACAUAAAAUAACCAUGUAAAGUAAACAUAUGCCAUCUGGGAAGAUGUGAUGCUAGUUACCACUAGCAAAGGCAAAUGAAAGUGGAGAUCAAAGCUCUUUUGGCCCAAUCCUGUUGUCUGAUAAUGAGAUUACUUGAGAUUGAGAACGUAAAUCAUAGAUUCAGCACAAAAUGCUAGAGUUACAAAAUUGCAAAUGGUAGAUGUGACAAAAAGAUGGAUAUGCUAUCUUUAUGUCGACCUCUUCUUGAAUUUAUGUGGAAGUUACCCCUCUAACGAUCAUUGGAAAGAGCUAGCAGAACAAGAAUUCAGAUAUGUAACAACUUGCUUCCGUUGUGGAUCCUCCUCUCUGCUUUCUUGCCCCUGGAGGACUUUGGUGCUGCAAUCCAACCGGUACAGCCCUUCACAAUAGGAUGACAAUGUAUAUCCAUUGAUAAGGAUUUGUACUAUUCAUACCAAAACCCGAACCCAAAAUUACUAUCAAAUUCCUGACUUGAACUCGGACAGGUAUGGAUUUUCUAUAUAUGAACUUGAACCUGAUUGGUUCGGUACCCAUUGGGUAUCCACAACCCGAACCUGAAUGUUAAACUUAUAACUAUUUAGUACAUGAUUAGCUUGUUAUAUAUGUAAUCUUUUCAAAAUUUGAGAUUAUUAUUUUUUAUUUCAGGUUGGGUUCGGGUAAUAUUCAUUCUGAACCUGAAACCUAAUAUUUUA